rnacentral:lncRNA from 1 species
GAGUUUCAGGGUUAGAUCUUGAAACUUUUUCAAGAUCAUACAGCGGAAGACUAAAAUAAAUCAAAAUUUAUUUUUAAAAUUAGAAAAUCCCUAGAUCUAAGAUCCUAUUACAUGAUUAUUACAUAGCAUUAAAUCAAAAAUUAAAAUAUAUAAAUAUAGCAUGAACUACAUGUUGAUCAUAUCAACAUGUUUCUAUACUACAUCUAAUGUAUGUAUUAAACAAUAGAUCAGAUCUAUUACCUUGCAAGUUAGAC